CCUACGGGCGGCAGCAGUGGGGAAUAUUGCACAAUGGGCGCAAGCCUGAUGCAGCCAUGCCGCGUGCGUGAAGAAGGCCUUCGGGUUGUAAAGCACUUUCAGCGGGGAGGAAGGUGUUGUGGUUAAUAACCACAGCAAUUGACGUUACCCGCAGAAGAAGCACCGGCUAACUCCGCGCCAGCAGCCGCGGUAAUACGGAGGGUGCAAGCGUUAAUCGGAAUUACUGGGCGUAAAGCGCACGCAGGCGGUCUGUCAAGUCGGAUGUGAAAUCCCCGGGCUCAACCUGGGAACUGCAUUCGAAACUGGCAGGCUAGAGUCUUGUAGGGGGGGGUAGAAUUCCAGGUGUAGCGGUGAAAUGCGUAGAGAUCUGGAGGAAUACCGGUGGCGAAGGCGGCCCCCUGGACAAAGACUGACGCUCAGGUGCGAAAGCGUGGGGAGCAAACAGGAUUAGAUACCCGAGUAGUC
rnacentral:rRNA from 1 species